AAAAGUUGUAUUUUAAAGGUUGUAAAAAUAUUGUAAAAAUGUUGUAAAAAGUUGUAAAAAGGUUGUAAAAAGGUUGUGAAAAAGGUUGUAAAAAGGUUGUAAAAAAUGCUGUAAUAACGGUUGUAAAAAGGUUGUAAAAAAGGUUGUGAAAAGGUUGUAAAAAGGUUGUGAAAAGGUUGUAAAAAGGCAAGUCGAUCCCAGGGCCUUAUAAAAAGGUUGUAAAAGGUUGUAAUUAAAAAGGUUGUAAAUAAAAAGGUUGUAAAAAAGUUGUAAAAAAGUUAUAAAAAGGUUGUAAAAAGGUCGUACAAAGGUCGUACAAAGG